UACGUAGGGUGCAAGCGUUGUCCGGAAUUAUUGGGCGUAAAGAGCUCGUAGGCGGUCUGUCACGUCGGCUGUGAAAACCCGGGGCUCAACCCCGGGCCUGCAGUCGAUACGGGCAGACUAGAGUGCGGUAGGGGUGACUGGAAUUCCUGGUGUAGCGGUGAAAUGCGCAGAUAUCAGGAGGAACACCGGUGGCGAAGGCGGGUCUCUGGGCCGAUACUGACGCUGAGGAGCGAAAGCGUGGGGAGCGAACAGG
rnacentral:rRNA from 1 species